CAAAGCUUUCAAAAUCUUCAACGUUUGAGGGUAGAAAGUUGUGAGUUGCUGGUGUCUGUAUUCGAAAUUGAAAGGGUUAAUAUUGCAAAAGAAGAAACUGAGUUGUUUUCGUCAUUAGAGAAACUGACUCUGAUCGACCUGCCUCGGAUGACGGACAUAUGGAAAGGUGACACUCAAUUUGUAAGUCUCCAUAACCUGACGAAAGUAAGAGUGCAAGACUGCGAUGAGUUGAGACAAGUAUUUCCGGCAAAUCUUGGGGAGAAAGCAGCAGCAGAGGAGAUGGUACUUUACAGGAACAGAAGAGAUCAGAUUCACAUUCACGCCACAACCUCAACCUCCUCUCCGACUCCGAGUUUGGGAAACCUGGUUUCUAUUACAAUUCGGGGAUGUGGGAAAUUACGAAACCUCUUCACAACCUCCAUGGUCAAAAGCCUGGUGCGACUUGAAAGCCUAGAAGUAAGCAGCUGCCCAACACUGCAAGAAAUAAUCAUGGAUGAUGAAGGAGAAGUGGGACUGCAGGGAGCAUCAACAAAGAAGAUCACUUUUCCAAGUUUGUUCAGCAUAAAACUCCGUGAUCUACACAGCCUUGCUUGUUUCUGCUCGUCAGGUUUACAUGCUACUAUGGAAUUUCUAGCUUUGGAGGCUUUGCAAAUAAUUGACUGUCCAUGCAUGAAGACCUUUGGUUAUGGAGACCAACUGACACCCAAGCUGCUGAAAGGUGUGGAGUUAGAAGGUGGUGAAUAUCACUGGACGGGUAACCUUAACCACACCAUUCAACAAUACGUGUACAACUAAAAGGUACGUCAAGUUAGCAAUUGCUUGCCCAUUAAAUUCCUUGUUUUUUUUUUUCUCAAUUGUAUUUGUAUGUGGUGGUAAAAUGAUUUUCUACAUCUGCUUAUACUAGCACACCAUUUUAAUUUUGUUUUUCAUUUGGGGCAGAAAAUUCGGGAGAAAGAACCAAUGAAGUCAGGAAUUUCAUCUGAGACUACUUCCUCUGACACUGAGAAUUGAUUGUGUAAAACAAACGGUAUGCAUGCGUAAAAUUUUACUAAAUUCCCUAGAUUUUGUCACAUAUUUAUCCUUUGACAUUGCUCUAACUAAUCCAAAUACUUGAUUUGUUUUCAGAACCAUCAUAUAAGGAGCGUUGACAGGUUCGCAUACAUCACCGGUUUAUUGAAUUUCAUUCUCCUUUUUCAUGUCUUAUAUAUUAAAUGUACAAAAGAAUUUCAUGUAUUUUCUUCGUUUGGGAUUGUGCAUGAUGUUAUUUAUUCUGGUUUCAAUCUCUCAGGUAUGCCAAGCCCAGAUGCCAGAUUGCUUGGGGUGUUAAAAUAAUAAUUACUUUAGUUCGUGGAGCUGCCUGUAAAAAUUUGGUAUCCAUAAUGUAUGUUGUUUGUUUAGAUAUUAAACAGUUAGAGUUUGUUAAUCAUAGACGCAUUCUCAAUGUGAUAAGUAUCGGCAGGAAACUGCUGAGUUCAAUUCUGAAAAAUAAAUGUAAUUGAGUAUUACGAGUGAGAAAAAUAAUUGUGAAUCCUUAUUUCUUGUUUUUGCACUUGGUUACUAGUCAAUUUAAGAGAUACCUUAAUGAUAUUCUCUUCUUCUAUUUCUUCUAUUCUUAAAUUGUUGUUCAUAAUUAAAAAAAAAUUAAAAUUAUUUGAUAUCCUAGUAACCUACUUUUAGAGCCUGCUAAUUUAGUUGCAGCUUUGCAGUAUUGAGUUACUGAAUUAAAAAUAUUAGAUUUUUCCUCUUUCCGGAUCAAUGGAUGCUAAUGCAGCACAGCUUGCUGGCAAUAGAACAGGCUGCCAAUGGAACACAAAUUUAUAAGUUUCGGGAUAAAUUUUUCAUUAAUUAAUAAAAAGCCGAAUGACAAUUUUCUAGUAACAUAUGCUGAAUCCGGAGCCACAUUCUCUUGGUAACCAUUUUUCCAAAGUAAAAAGCUUCUCUGCUAGUUGUGCCCAAUCCUGUCUCAAGCCAAUAUCAGAAAUAACUCUGAGAGGAUGCCCUGCCAUCAGAGUUCGAUCAAAGGCCUUCAGGAUUUGGCUGAUAGAUAAAUGCUAGAAGCAAAAUUUUAACUUCAGCGGCAGCCGCACCAAGAAAAUCCACAGCCAGUUGAUCAUUAUCAAAUGCAAAACGAACAGGCACAAGCAGAGAAGCAGGUUCCAGAAUUGGAGCAGCAGCUCCGAGGUGGCCGGUGGGAGCUUCCCUAUUGGAGGGUGCGAGCAGAAGUUGAGCCAUCAUAAUUCUGAUUUCCGAAGAGUUUAUUGUGUUUCUAUUAUGAGAUGAUUAAGUGUCUUGACUUUGUUCUGGUGUUGUGUCGAAUGAUUAUUUCAACAUAACUUUGUCUUGAACAGCUUGUGUUUGAAGUAAAAUUCUUCAAAAAAGGGCUGACAGUGACAAGUUCUGUACGUUCCCGAAGGAAGAUUCACCUUAUAUAUUAUUGGCCUUAUGAAGAGCAGCAAGGCUCUCCAGGUUGAGCAAUUGGUGUUGGUUUUGUGACCAACUGCCAUGAUGAUGGUCAGUAUCAUCAAUAUUAUCCUGCAGAUUAAGCCUGCUCACGCCUCGGUUGCAUCAUGCCAAUCAUUAUUUAUCGUCAUCAGUCUGCAUGAUGGGCUCUGCAACAUCACCAUACUCCUCUAGUGCCAUUGUAAUAUCACAAAGCAAGAAGUUGAAACCUGCCGCUGUUGAGCUCUGCAACAUCACCGUACUCCUCUGAUGCCAUUGUAAUAUCACAAAACAAGAAGUUAAAAUGUAGAAAAUGUUUAAAAUCAAAUAAAAUUUGAACCAAAAAAAAAAAAACCACCAAAAGAUUGCACUCACAGUUUUGCGGAAGAAAUUUCUACACUUAAAACGAACAAAAGAGGUAACAGAAUACACGCAUUCUACUAGGAUAAGGAAACGUCGGUUAGUUUUAUAAUUUUAAAUUACUACUAAAACAAUGUGUUUUUGUGUUUAAUACGAAAAAUUAAAAUUGAGUUGAAUCUUGUCCAUCCAAUAAUUUAAAUAAUACACAUCAAAAUGUCUUUAAAACAUUAGGAAAGAUUAGAGUACGAAGGAAAGUGGAUCCAAUUAUUGGGAUAAUUAGUAAUAAAUUUACAAUCAGAAUUAAUCUUUACAAAUUGUUUAAAACUGCACCUCAUAUAUAUUUAGACUCCAUUUGAUAUAGCCUCUCAAAUAGAUCUUAUUUAAAUAGAACUUUUACAAAUAGAGUUUUUAUUUUAAAAAAAAAUUAGUUGUUUGGUUGUUAAUAAGAGUUUUUAUUAAAAAUUAUAAACUAUCAAAGUUUAAAGUUAUGUUAUAAAAACAAUAAAAUAAGAAUAUAAAACAAAUAAUGAGCAUUUUAGACAAUUGAACUUUCUAAGAAAAAAAAAACUUUGUAACCUCUAGCCCUAAAAACUCAAAAUUUGAGCUUUUUUUAGUGGAGGUAAAAUACUAUUUAUUUAACUCUCAAAAGCUCUAUUAAAAUAAAAUAAAAAAACCAAACAACCAAAAAUAAAUAAAAUUUUUAAAAAGAACUUAUAUACAUUAGAUAAGUCAUUCAAGUAGGCAUUUAAAAAGAAAAAAAUUCAGUCAAAACUCAACUCAAAGUAUCAAGUUUAACUUAAAAGCUUGGGCUAAUGGGUUGAGCCCUCACUAGCUCAUGGUACAAUUACAAACUUUUAAAAUACGAUUUAUAUAAACGAAAUUAAUUUAACAUUUAUGUGAUAAAAGAUUAAGAAAUCUUUAGUCAAAUAAGAAAACUAAUAUAUGCGAUUUUUAUGGGAAAACAAAUUGGUGGAAAGAAUCUCAAUUUCACAUAAUUAAUUUUAUUUACAAUAUUAUAAUAUAUUAAUAAUUUUUGUCAAAAUUUUUAUUUAUUUAAUGUGAAAACAAAUGCAUUGUAUAUAUUUAUUCUAUUACUUAAAUUUAAAACUAUAAAGAAUGAAACUUAAAUUUAAAAUUGUAAAGAAUGAAUAAUAACUUAAAUUAGUAGAUUAUGGGAGGAUACCUUUCAAAAAAAAUUAAAAUUAACUAAUUUUUUAGGCUUCUAAUGUAACAUUUUUAUUUUAUUUUUUUGUUAACAUAAGACAAAAAUUUAGUCUAAAAAACUCAUUCUAGGGUCUCCUUAGGGUAAAAAAAAAAUCAUUAUCACAUGAUAAUUUGAUAGCCUAAGUUGUAUUAUUUUUAGUUUACUUAUUCAUGUCAAACACCUUAUUGAGAUUAAAUUUUAGUAAAGGUAAACCCAUCCCACAUCUUUAAUCGCAUUCAGUAGGCCCUAAUUGAUUAGAUCUUGUUAUAGAAAGUAAUAUAUAACUCUUUCUUUAUUACAAUGCUAAAGAAAAAAACAUAAACACAAUAUAUUUCUUUUGAGAAAAUGCAAGUAUUAUGUUUUUUAGGUUUUUCGUUUAAGAAAUUAAUCUAAUUUAUGUAGUUAUAAGACUCUUAUUUUUUUAUGUUUUAGAAGAAUUAUAUGUUUGAUAAUGAAUAAAUUAAGAUUUAAAGUAGGACAAACUAAUUUGAGAGGGAGAUAGAGAAAAUAAUUUUUUUAGAAUUUGAAAAUUAUUAUAUUUUAAUUGGGGCUUAUUACAUAAAAUUAAUAAAACAUAUGGUUUUUAUUAUUUAUAGAAAACAAUAUGAAUUGCUAAAGAAAACACUAAAUAAUUUUUUUUAAAUUUGAAAUUAUUAUAUUUUAAUUGGGGCUUAUUGCAUAAAAUUUAUAAUUUUUAUUAUUUACAGGAAACAAUAGGGAUCGUUAAAAACAGAUACCAAAUUUGGGGGUUUGGUACAACGGUUGCAAAGUAGUUUUGUCCUCCUUUCCAUUAAUAGAGAAUUCUCUCUUCAAUUAUUGAUUGGAGUUUGUACACUAUCUUUUUUUGUUUUAUAUUUAAUUUUUGACACUUUACUCUUUCUUUGUCCGAUUACAAUUUUUGUUCUGUUAUGAUGCUCUUCUUUUUCUUAAGAGUACAUACUUUGACACAAGACCAGUUAUCUGCUCAUCAAUCUCAAGCGUGUAUUAUUGCAAUUGAUUGCUUUCUCACCCCUUCAUUAACCCAGAAAAUACAUACAUCCUCGCCUAAAUUACUGUCUGCUCAUUACCUCUUAUACCAUUAUUCCUUCAUUCUUAACCUCAAAAAACAAGUUGAAUAUGGCCGCGGAAACUGUUACUUCAGUUACCCAGCCUAUUACGGAGAAGAUUGUUGACGUGUUGUUCAAUCCAACAGUCCGUCAGUUUGGUUACUUGUGUAAGUACGAACACUAAAUUGAAGCGUUGAGGACGGAAGCAAAGAAGCUUACAGAUAGAAGAAAUGACUUGCAAGCGGAAAUUGGUGCUGCAACAAGAAAUGGAGAAGCUAUUAAGGAUGAGGUUCAAAGAUGGCCAGACAAAGUUGAUGAGAUCAUUCCAACAGCUGAAAAUGUUUUGGAGGAUGAAGUGAAAGUAAACAAGAAAUGCCUUGGCGGGUUGUGCGUUGAUCUCAAAUCACGUUACAAACUCAGCAGAGAGGCAGAGGAGAAGACUCUGGCAAUUUCUGGUCUCAUGGCUGAUGGAAAUUUUGGAAAAGAUGUGUCUCGUCCUGCUCCUCCACCAGCAAUAAUAUCUUCGUCUGAAGGAUUCUGCGCUUUCAGAUCCAGGGAAUCAGCAAUGAAGGAUAUAAUGGAGGCCAUGAAGAAUGAAAAUGUCAGCAUAAUAGGAAUAUGCGGAAUGGGGGGUGUGGGGAAGACCACACUAGUCAAGGAAAUUCAGAAGCAAGCAAAAGAAAUGAAGAUGUUUGAUGAAGUACCGAUGGCCGUUGUGUCUCAAACUCCAAGCAUUACCAAGAUUCAAGAUGAGAUUGCUGGCUGGUUAGGUAUUAAAGAACUGCCUGACAAUGACGAGUUAUUAAGAGCUAGUCUUUUGUGCAAAAGAAUCGAGAAGCAGAGGGUGCUUGUCAUAUUGGACGACGUAUGGGUGCAGAUAGAAUUGAAAAAUUUUAAAAGAGAUGCUCGAGAGCAAUGGGACUUUCACAGGACAUGAGGAUUUCAGCGCUACAUUCUUGGAUUAAGAAUUUGCUGCUCAGAUCAGAGAUUCUUGCUUUGGCAGAAGUCAACGAUUUGGAGAAUAUAGUCUCGGACCUAGCUAAUGAUGGCUUUAACGAAUUGAUGUUUCUAGUUAUUUUCAGCUGCAAUGAGAUGAAAUAUCUCUUGAACUCAUUGGAAAGGACACUACGAGUAACUCUCCACAAGUUCGAAUGGUUGUUUAUACGUGAAAAUCAGAAUUUUGUUGAAAUAUGCCACGGUCAACUCCCAGCCGGGUGCUUGAGCAAUGUAAAAAGGUUAGAUGUGGAAGAUUGUGGCAGUAUGUUGAAAAUUUUACCAAGUCAUUUGGUACAAAGCUUUCAAAAUCUUCAACGUUUGAGGGUAGAAAGUUGUGACUUGCUGGUGUCUGUAUUCGAAAUUGAAAGGGUUAAUAUUGCAAAAGAAGAAACUGAGUUGUUUUCGUCAUUAGAGAAACUGACUCUGAUCGGCCUGCCACGGAUGACAGACAUAUGGAAAGGUGACACUCAAUUUGUAAGUCUCCGUAACCUGAAGAAAGUAAGAGUGCAAGACUGUGAUGAGUUGAGACAGUAUUUCCGGCAAAUCUUGGGAAGAAAGCAGCAGCAGAGGAGAUGGUGCCGUACAGGAACAGAAGAUAUCAGAUUCACAUUCACGCCACAACCUCAACCUCCUCUCCGACUCCGAGUUUGGGAAACCUGGUUUCUAUUAGAAUUGACACAUGUGGGCAACUACGACAACUCUUCACAACCUCCAUGGUCAAAAGCCUGGUGCGAAUUGAAAGCCUAGAAGUAAGCAGCUGCCCAACACUGCAAGAAAUAAUCAUGGAUGAUGAAGGAGAAGUGGGACUGCAGGGAGCAUCAACAAAGAAGAUCACGUUUCCAAGUUUGUUCGGCAUAAAACUCUGUGAUCUAGACAGCCUUGCUUGUUUCUGCUCGUCAGGUUUACAUGCUACUAUGGAAUUCUUAGCUUUGGAGGCUUUGCAAAUAAUUGACUGUCCAGGCAUGAAGACCUUUGGUUAUGGAGACCAAUUGACACCCAAGCUGCUGAAAGGUGUGGAGUUAGAAAUUGGUGAAUAUCGCUGGACGGGUAACCUUAACCACACCAUUCAAUAAUACGUAUACAAUGAAGAGGUACAUCAAGUUAGCAAUUGCAUGCCCGUUAAAUUCCUUGGUUUUUUUUUUUUAAUUUUAAUUGUAUUUGUAUGUGGUCGUAAAAUGAUUUUCUACAUCUGCUUCUACUAGCACACCAUUUUAAUUUUGUUUUUCAUUUGGAGCAGAAAAUCAGGGAAAAACAAGCAAUGGAGUCGGGAAUUUCAUCUGGGACUACUUCCUCUAUCACUGAGAAUUGAUUGUAUAAAACAAAUGGUAUGCAUGCGUAAAAUUUUGACAAAUUCCCUAGAAUUUGUCACAUAUUUAUCCUUUGAAAUUCCAGUAAUCAAUUCCAAAUAGUUGAUUUGUUUUCAGAGCAAUUGCAAGUAUCCAAAUUUGAAAGAUUUAAGAGAGCUUCUACUUGAGUGUUCUAGUAAGGAUCAAACUGGGUGUAUUGGAGUUGUGAGUUUUGAGAGAGUUUGUUUCCUACUUUUGUAAAUUCAAAUUGAUUAGUAAGAUUAUCUUUCGGUCUUUGUUCAUGGACGUAGGCUUUACGCCGAACCACGUAAAUUAUUGUGUCCUAUUUUCUUUACAUUUGUUUAUCACAAUAUUUACAUUUCUCCAGAAGUCGUGAUCACUGUAAUAUUGAUAAUUGCUCAAUCUGCACUUUCGCAACAAUUGGUAUCAAAGCAGACAAUUCGUGCUUUGGUUAUACGACAUUAUUCACGUAUAUAGUACUAUUCACGAAUAUGAUAGAGCCAAUAGUUCGUACUUGGGAGUAUUAGGAGCCUACAAUGUAGUUGUGUGGAUAAAUGCAUGUUUAGGAAAGUUUUGUCAAUAAGAUGAUAGGAGUCUACGGAGUCGUGGGACUGUUGUGUCCCUUAUAUUGUCUUAAAAAAUUUUUUAGUGCAUUGUUUAUAUAAAUAGAUACAUAGUCACUGUUUAAUCAGGUUAAGUAAUUAAAAAACAAAGGGAUGGCAAAGGCGACGGCAUCAUCUUCAUCAACAAGGACCAUUGUAACGAAUGUGAAAUUUGAAGAGGAGAAAUUUGAUGAUAAGUAUAAUUUUGGUAUGCGGCAAUGUGAGGUGUCGGAUGCCUUAUGUCAGCAAGAGUUGGACAUCAGCUUUAAAGAAAAACCUAACAAGAUUGAUGACAAAGAGUUGAUAAAGAUCAAGAGACAAGGAUGUGGUACUAUUUGCCUAUGUCUGGAUAAAAAUAAAAAAUACUCUAUCAGGAGGGAGACAUUAACAAAAAAAUUGUAGAAGAUACUGGAAGAAAAGUACAUAAAGACAAGCCUUGAAAAUAGGUUUUAUAUGAAGAAAAAAACUCUAUUAAUUCAUGUAUACACCUUGCAUGUCGAUGAAUGACUAUGUAAACUCACUUAACAAGAUAUUUGCGGACUACUUAAUUUAGAUAAGAAAUCAAAGAUGAAGAUAAGGUAUGGUUGCUAUUGAAUUCCCUUCCUGAUAAAUAUGAUCAUUUCACCACUACUUUGAAUUCCUUAUGAAUAAAUUAAAGUCCUUCAGUUUAGUAAAAUUCUUAUGUUACCUUAAUAGUUUCAAUUUUGAACAUUUUAAUCCUCCUUUAUUUAGGACAUCGUUAUUGUAUUAUUUGAUACAUGGAACAUUAAUUAGAUUCUUGUGGAUCUUUUCCUCUUGGCAACGUUGAAUGAUCAAAUAAGAAGUGAAAUCCAGCAUAUGAAAACCGUGCUUGGACAAAACAUACCUAAUAUUGGAGCUCUCAUUAGAUUAUCCAGAAGCAGUAGCAGUCAGGACAUGAAUGCAUCCAUAUAUAAGCGCUGCCGCACAACAACUUCCAGAGCUCCAACUUCAGAAUCUGUAUCAGGAGCAACAUGUUGAAAAGUCAUGCAUGUGGCAAUUUUUCAAAGAGCUACCAAACAUUUGAAGAAAAAAUGGAAAGUUGGCAAAUUUGUCAAAUUUGCCAAAUGGACACCAUUGACAUAUUUGCAUGGGUUAGGUGGAAUAGUACUUGCUUCAAGCCUAUAAAUAGAGAGCAUUUAUUCAUUUCAAAAUCAUCCCAAAAUUGUUAAGCUUAUAAGUUUCUAAGCUUUUGAGAGAAGUGAGAGAAGUGUGUCUGGGGAAUUUAUCUUUCCUGCAGAGUGUGAGAGUACUGGGUAUAUUUGGGUUUUUGAGAAGUGAGAUUCGUUACUCAAAUAUUGUACUCAAUUAAUUGUUAAAUAAACAAUUAUUCUUUCUUGCCUCCGUGGAUGUAGGUUUAAUUACUGAACCACGUAAAUUCUUAUGUCCUUUAUUUUUUUGUAAUUAUUUGGUGCACUUGAUUCCGCAUUCCGCGCACAACAAGUGGUAUCAGAGCCGACGGUUCGUACUUGGGGGGAUACGGUACUGUUCACGUAUACGGCACUAUUCACAUAUACGAAACUGUUCACGUAUACGGUACUGUUCACAAAUACAGUGGAGACAGCCAUUUGUACUUGGGAGACAGUCUAUUGAAAGUAGUUUGUAUUUUUGCAUGUCUAGGAAAGUUCUGUCAACAAAGGCGAUAAGAGUCUAAGGAUUCUGGUUUUUAAUUGGGACUGAGUUCUCGUCUAGUUUCCUGUGAACUUGCCUGGUACAUUUAUUCACGCGAAAUUAACAUCAUAGAGACUGUUUUCCAAGUGGAAAUAGUUCAUUGAGAAAAUGGUAGAAGGUGAAACUUCCAGAAUUGGGGAGAGAUCUAUCGAGACUAUUUCAGGAGACACUUCAGGUGGGAGGCGAGAUUUGUUAAAUUGCUAUUCAGCACCUGUUAUAGGAGGCCAGAAGAUCGAUGUUGAAAAGUUUGAUGGGAAAAUCAACUUCGGCAUAUGGAGACGCGAAGUUAUGGAUGCCCUUAUUCAAAUCGAUCUCGAUGUUGUUCUGAAAAAUAAAAGACACCUGUAUGAUGAAAAAAAUUGGGAUCGUAUGAAUGAAAAAGCCUGUGGUCAUAUCAGAUCUUGUUUGACCAAGGAGGUGAAAUACUCGGUGAAAGAUGAGGAGUGUGCGGUGACUUUGUGGUGUACAUUGGAGGAGAAGUACCUAGUGAAAAGUCCUGAAAAUCGACUUCAUGCAAUGAGCCAAGUAUAUGGUUUUCGAAUGAAGCCUGUGGUGUCAAUGCACAAUCAUGUUUCAAGAUUUGAAAAGUUACUUGCUGAUUUGAAGAAUCUUGAUGAAGAUAUUAAGGAUGAAGUCAAGGCUAUGAUUCUGUUACACUCACUACCAGAGGAAUAUAGCCAUUUUGUGACUACUUUGAUAUAUGGGAAAAGUGUGAUCGUCUUUAAAGAUGUUUGCACAACAUUGAUUAGCUUAGAGAUUCAAAAUAAUGAUAAAAAUUUUGAACGAGCAUCGUUUGAAGCUUUGGUGAGCAGAGAUUGGGCAAUGGAGAAACAGAAGAAGCCUGGUGGAAAGAAUUCUCGAUCCAAAUCAAGAAGCAGAAAUAUAGCUCGAGAUGAGUGUGCAUUUUGUCAUGAAAAGGGCCAUUGGAGGAAAGAUUGUCCAAAUGCUCAAAAGAGAGAUGGAAAGAAACCAGCAGCAGUAAACAUUGCACGAAAAGAUGAGGGCUCUGAUUAUUCACUAAGUAUUACUCUUGCAGUAUACGUGGCUAGUUCGAGCGAGUGGAUACUUGAUACUGGAGCAACCUAUCAUUUGUGUCCUAUUAAGGAAUGGUUUACGGAUUUUCAUAAUCUGGAAUCCGGUGCAGUUGUGAUGGGGAAUAAUCAACCUUGUCGCACAAUGGGGAUAUGAACAAUUCGGCUCAAAAUGUUUGAUGGAAUGGUCAGAGAACUCAAAGAUGUUAGAUUUAUUUCAGCUUUAAAGAAAACUCUAAUUUCUGUGGGUGCUUUAGAAGAUAAAGGCUAUAAGGUUACCAUUGAAGAUGGUAUAAUGAAGUUUACACAUGGGGCUAUGGUAAUUCUGCAAGGGGUUCGGUAUCACAAUCUGUACUAUUUGAAGGGAGGUACAACUGAUGAAGUAAAUGUUGUUGAGGCGCACAGUGACACCACCAAGUUAUGGCAUGUACGACUGGGACAUGCUGGAGAGAAGUCUUUGCAAACUCUGAUGAAGCAUGGACUCUUAAAAUGUACCAAAACCUGUAAAUUAAAUUUCUGUGAGCAUUGUGUAGUAGGCAAGAAAACAAAGGUCAAGUUUGGUACAACUAAUCACGAUACUCGCGAGAUCCUUGAAUAUGUUCAUAGUGAUAUAUGGGGACCAACCAAGACUGCAUCAAUUAGUGGAAGCCAUUAUUUUGUUACAUUUGUUGAUGAUUUCUCUAGACAUGUGUGAGUGUACACCAUGCGAGCAAAGGAUGAGGUUCUAGAGAUUUUCGUGAAAUGGAAGAAAUUGGUAGAGACUCAAACUGGCAGAAAGAUUAAAGUAUUACGAUCUGAUAAUGGGGGUGAAUAUACUUCUGAUCCAUUCUUGCAAGUAUGCCAGAACGAGGGUAUUAAAAGACAUUUCACGGUGAGACAUACUCCGCAACAGAACGGUGUGGCUGAGCAUAUGAAUCGUACUUUACUGGAGAAUGUACGGUGUAUGUUAUCUAAUGCUGGUUUAGAUAAAAAAUUUUGGGUUGAAGCUGUGAGCUACACAAGUCACUUGGUAAACUGGUUGCCUUCUACUGCAAUUGGAGGUAAAACUCCUAUGGAAAUGUGGUCUGGAAAGCAUGCACAAGACUAUGAUUCCCUUCGUAUAUUCGGGUGUCCAGCUUAUUAUCAUGUCAAAGUUGGUAAACUGGAUUCUCGUGCUAGAAAAGUUAUCUUUGUGGGAUUCAAAGGUGGAGUAAAGGGCUUCAAGCUUUGGGAUCUCGAAAAUAAAAAGUUUGUGUGUAGCAGAGAUGUCACAUUUGAUGAAGCUUCAAUGAUGAAAGCUUCAAGUUUUCAGCAGGUGGAGAACAAGACCAAAGAGGUAUUGCAGCGGGUGGAGUUUGAUGCAACUCCAUUUGUACUAGUUAGUUCUACAUCAAAAAAUGGUUCAACUAUGGAGGUGACACCUAGAGUUGAAGAAGAGGUUGUUUCUUCUGAUGUCCCACAAAAUGAAGAAACAAUUGAUGAUGUAGAUAAUGAUGAUUUUAUAGCAACAAGAAGGCCAAGAAGAGAGAUAAAGAAACCCGGAUGGCUUACUAAAGAUAUGGUGGUAGCCUAUGCACUUCCAGUUAUUGAUGAUGACAUCCCCAACACUUUCGGUGAAACAUUACACAGUAGUGAAAGUGAUCAGUGGAAGUUAGCCAUGGAGGAAGAGAUGAAAUCUCUCCAUCAAAACUAGAAUUGGGAACUUGUAAAGUUACCAAAAGGGAAAAGGGUUAUUGACAAUAAAUAGGUCUACACCAAAAAGCAAGGAUCUCCGAAUUAAACAACUCCUUAAUACAAGGCAAGGCUCGUGGCAAAAGGUUUUGCUCAAAAGGAAGGUAUUGACUACAAUGAAGUUUUCUCUCCAGUUGUAAAACAUACUUCAAUUCGUAUCCUACACUUCUUAGUUGCAAAUUAUGAGUUAGAGUUGGCUCAAUUGGAUGUUAAGACGGCGUUCUUACAUGGAGAUUUGGAGGAGGAAAUCUAUAUAAUUCAGCCUUGUGGUUUCAGAGUUGCUGGAAAGGAGAAUCAUAUGUGUAGGUUGAUUAAAUCUUUGUACGGACUGAAGCAAUCGCCAAGGCAGUGGUACAAAAGAUUUUAUCAAUUUAUACAAGGGCAGAAAUUCACCAGAAGUGAACACGAUCAUUAUGUUUACUUUAGAAGACUACCAGAUGGAGCUUUCAUCUAUUUGUUACUCUAUAUCGAUGAUAUGCUUAUAGCUUCGAAGAAUAGAGAUGAGAUCGAAAGAUUAAAGAAGCAGCUGGCUUCUGAGUUGGAGAUGAAAGACUUAGGUGAUGCACAUAUAAUACUUGGGAUGGAGAUUCAUAAAGAUAAGAAGAAUGGGAGCGUAUGGUUGACUCAAAAGUCUUAUUUGAAGAAUGUGCUAGAAAGAUUUGGUAUGGAUGACAAAACUAAACCGGUAUGUACACCUCUAGCUCCUCAUUUCAAAUUAAGUUUUUCUUCAUGUCCUAGAUCUCAAGAGGAGCACGAUUACAUGGCUCGUGUUCCAUAUGCUAGUGUUGUGGGUAGUCUUAUGUAUGCUAUGGUAUGCACAAGACCCGAUAUAUCUCAAGCAGUGAGCAUGGUUAGUAGAUACAUGCACAAUCCGGGUAAAAAUCAAUGGCUUGCGGUAAAGUGGAUUCUUCGAUAUCUGUAUGGGAUAGUUGAUGUUGGGUUAUUGUUCAAGAAGGAUUAUGGUCAACAAUGUGUUGGGUAUUGUGAUUCUGAUUUCGCUGGAGACCUUGACAAGCGAAGAUCAACAACGGGCUACGUAUUCACAUUGGGUGGAGGUCUCGUUAGCUGGAGGUCGAUUCUACAAUCGACAAUUGCUCUGUCCACUACGGAAGUAGAGUAUAUGGCAGCAACUGAAGCUGUAAAAGAAGCUAUCUGGUUGAAAGGCUUGUUAGGUGACUUAGGAGUAAUCCAGAAGAACAUUGUGGUCUUCUGUGAUAAUCAAAGUGAGAUAUUCCUUGCGAAGAAUCAAACAUAUCACGCUCGGACGAAGCACAUAGAUGUGAAAUAUCAUUAUGUGAGAGAGAUUAUCGAGAGCGGUGUUGUGUUGUUGAGAAAGAUCGAUACCAAAGAUAAUCCAUCAGAUAUGUUGACGAAGGUAGUUUCUGGAGUUAAGUUUCAACAUUGCUUCAAAUUAAUUCAAAUCAUUCGAUUGUGUUAAGAUAUGUCCUUCGGGAAUUUUGAACUACGGUUGGCUUGAUCCCAAAUUUUGGGUACGUAGGCAUUCAAAGAGAUGCAGCCAUUUUCGGGAUGAUGAUUGGUUAGUAGUCGGCUCAGAUUUGGACAAAUUUUCACCGAUGUGGAGAAUUGUUGAAAAGUCAUGCAUGUGGCAAUUUUUCAAAGAACUACCAAACAUUUGAAGAAAAAAAUGGAAAGUUGGCAAAUUUGAAAAAUUUGCCAAAUGGACACCAUUGACAUAUUUGCAUGGGUUAGGUGGAAUAGUGCUUGGAUUAGGUGAAAUAGUACUUGGGUUAGGUGGAAUAGUACUAGCUUCAAGCCUAUAAAUAGAGAGCAUUUCUUCACUUCAAAACCAUCCCAAAAUUGUUAAGCUUAUAAGUUUCUAAGCUUUUGAGAGAAGUGAGAGAAGUGUCUAUGGGGAAUUUGUCUUUCCUGCAGAGUGUGAGAGUACUAGAUAUAUUUAGGUUUUUGGGAAGUGAGAUUUAUUAUUCAAAUAUUGUACUCUAUUAAUUGUUAAAUAAAACAAUUAUUCUUUCUGGCCUCCGUGGAGGUAGGUUUAAUUACCGAACUACGUAAAUUCUUGUGUCAUUUAUUUUUCUAUAAUUAUUUGGUGCGCUUUAUUCCGCAUUCCGCGCACAACAUAACAAUCACAGUACGAUUUUCAGCAGCAACCAUAUCUCAGGCUAAAUAGUUUUGGAGUUCAAAAUGAGCAAGGGCAAUGCAGCCAACUUUAGCAGCAGUUGCUGCACUAAGAGAAUCCAAAAUGAGCAAGGGCAAUGCAGCCAACAAGCCCACCAAAUUCAACUAUAAUAACAGCUGCCGGAACUUUAAGCAGCUCCAUGCCGUGAGCUUCAUCAUUGGAGAGUGAGGACAGAAAUGAGGCACCAUCAUUCUAAAGAUUUUUUUUUAUUUGAUUCCUAUUAUCGGGUGAUUAAGUACUAUCUAUGUUAGUUUACUAUGUUGUGGUAUUGUGUUGAUUGCUUAUUUCAAGAGAAAUUUAAUUUGUUGUUUGAAUUGUUUGUGUUUGGAGUUUAUUAAAAAUUCAUAAGAAUAUUAUUUGCAAUGCAUUUUAUCAGUUAUUAUAAUUUCCAGAAUCCCAUAAAAUGGAUUUGAUCGAUGCUACUUAAAUCUUGAUUUUUGAAGGGCUUAAGUUGGUCUUUGUUACACACAUAUAGUUCUUCUCUAGUGCGGGAGCACUCAUUUUUUUUAUUUUUUUAUGUGAAUACAAUUUAAAAUCGUGGAGUUUAAGAGAGUUAGUUUUUAACUCUCUAAAAUCGUAGGAUUUUAUUAAAAAAAAAUGUGAACGUCCGCACUUAAGAAUGAUAUGAUAUAUAUAUAGUGCGCAUUUAGUAUUAAACUGAUUAUGUGCACAUCAUCAUUUCAGCACGUGAUAUGUAUAAUCAUCUCUUGAUUCUCGCAUUCUUUCUUGAUGAGCUACAUAUACAUAUUAUCUAUAAAUAAAUAGAUUGUAAUUAUACUUGUUAAUUAAUAGCUUGUAUCUACACAUACGUCUACUUUCUUGCAACAAUAUUCCAAGGUAUAACACAAAAAAUUAAAUGUUUAAGCAGAGUUCCAUUUUUUUUUUUUUUUUGUUUCUUGUGCAUAAUCCUUUCAUUAUAAAUUGCUGAAUAGGAAAAUGGUAAAUGAACAAAUGCAAGACAAAGGGUCGACAGAAACGGCAGCCAAUCACGCGUUCCUUUUUCUAAUUUUUCUUUAGGCCGACAAUAGAUAAUAAAAUAAGUUUCAAAAAGGGAAAAAAUACUCAAAUAUCUCCUGAGAAAGGAAACUCCAUCCACUCAUCCUUGACUCAUUCUCCACCCACAUCAUUCCCGUCUGUUUCACAACUCCACUCGUCCCCAUCACCAACUUACGCUCUAAACACUUCGUCCCCUCCGUUUCCCAUCCUCCACUCGUUCUCCACCCACAUCAUCUCUCUGUUUCACAACUCCACUCGUCCCCUCACCAACCAUUGCUCUAAACACUUCGUCCCCUCCGUUUCCUUUCUCCACUUGUCCCCGUCCAUUACUUUCUAUCAAUUCAAAGUAAAAAAAAAAAAAAAAAAUCAUAACAAUUUAGAUAUAUAAAACGCACGCAUCCAGAGAUUUUUACAAAUUUAAACCAUCACUUUCUAACAAUUUAUAUUGAAAAAAAAUUCUAAUAAUUUAAAUAUAUAGAACACAAGUAAAAACGAAUUUUAUUUAAAUGUAGUGGGAAACUGAAAGUUACCGAUUAUCUGGCUACAAUUUCAUCAACGUGGUUGGCGUGGUCUUUGGCACCAAAUUCAGAUCUUUGAAUGUUGGUUUUAUUUCAUUUUUCUUUUGUUAAUGCAAAUGCAAAUCUGAGUUUAUCGGGUUUGGCUUUGUCCGCUUGGAGGAUAAUGGCGUUGAUGGCACACAAGUAGUUACUCUGUCAUUACUUUCUUCUUUUAAAAUUACCUUUUCGUUACUUUUAUGUUACUUUUUCAUGAUUUUAAUAUUUUAUUUUCAUUAUUUUAAUUUUUUAAAUGAAAAGAGAAACAUAAGUGGGACCCAAAGAAACAGCAGCGGGCAGCCGGGCACUACCGUUAUGUCGUCCCUUUGUUCAUCUAGCGCUGUUGUGUUAGUUAUCUCUUACAAGUUAAUAAAAGAAAGUACUAUAAUGCUAAAUUAUAAUGGUAAUAAUGUUAGAACCACUAAUCCUUUUGUAAAAGGAGUUUGUUGCUCUAUUAUCAAAAUAACAAUAAUAAUUUAAAAAUAUAUAUAAUCUUUGUUGUAAUGCUUUUGUACUCUUCUCAAAUUUCACCAUGGAAAAUAAUAUAUAUGAAAGCGAGUCGCCUUGAAAGCAAAGGCAAGACUGCGAGCACUUCUCUUGUGAAUCAUUUCUUUAUUUGUUUGUUCUUUCUUUCUUUUGCGUGUUGUAGCUGCUUAAUUCUUCUUUAUCUACAAUAUUCAUUUGGCUUUUCACUUUUCUGUUUCUUUAGUACAAUCUUACAAACUAACCAUUGGUUUAUGAGCAUCACGGUAUAAUUAAUGUUUGUACCCUUCUUUAUCUACAAUAUUCAUAGAAAAUAAUAUAUAUAGAAACAAGUAUGGGAUUGAUCCAGCUACAUAACAGCAUAUAAUAAAACCACAUCCUGUAAAUAAAAAGAAAGCUAUUAGAUAAAUGAAACGAAACGAAACGAAACCUACAGGUUUAAUGUAUGGACUAGACUACUAAAUGCUAAAAUCUAAAAAUUGAUACCGUUUUAGUAAUAUCAUUAACAUAUAUUUAAUAAACAACGCACAAUAGAUAAUUACUGAACUACAAGAAAGUUUAUAUAAUUUUCUGAUAAAUCGCAUAUGAAGAAUGCAUAUAGCCGAAGAAAGAGAAAUUAAGGAUUGGUGCAUUGUUUCACUUGAUUAAAGAUCUGAUACAUGGGCCAUGAACAGACAGAAUUCAUGUGCAAUUGUUUCAAAAAUUUUUUUCCCCACUAGUCUCCUUUGCCAUAUCAAACUCCAGAAGUAAAUCUCAAUUCACAAACCACAAAGAACAAGUGAAAAGAUUGAAGAUGUUUGGGUUGGAUUUUUCUGGUAGCGUAUCGAAAUAUAGUCGAUCCUCAUCUACUCAGAUGUUGUUGAGCUGACCUCAUAAGUACAACCUGGAGCCUAUAUUAGCGACCUGAUUUAUAGGUACGACAUGAAUAUCCUAUUUUAAGAAUACAACCUCAAGCCUAUAUAAUCCGACCUCGAAAUUCAUUUGUCCGACCUGAGAAUUAGCUUGACAUAAGAAAUUGCUAGUCAAGAGAACGUGGCCUAAUUUCUAGGGAAGUUGUGUGCCACGAUCUAUUUAAACCACCUCCAACUGACAACCACUUGCAACUGCUGAAGAAAGCGGGCUGAAGUUAAGGGAGUAACCGUCCACGACCAAGAGCCUAUUUAAACUGAAGAGCGCAUCAGGUGACGGGGUUAGCAAAAAUGAACCAAAAAACUCUAUAAGUGACCUAUCUAAGAGCCUUAACGGGGCUGACUAGAUUUUUAGUUCCUUGAUCGAAAAAUUCCUUUCUUUUGAACCCAUUCACAAUUCUUCCCUCUCAUUUUUAUCUCUUUAUACACAAUUUCUGACUUAAGCAUCGGAGGGUCUGCGGCGGAAACCCACCGGCGUAUCCUAACCGUGUUUUCUGGUUGACAGGUAUAUAAAAUUACGGUCAUAUUGGCGUUUGAGCUUGGAUUCGUGCUGUAAUUCCCUUAAAGAAAUAAAUUCAGUUGUUAAGGUCGUUUUUCGGCAUCAACAUCUUGGCGCCGUCUGUGGGGAACGGUGCGAAAAGCCAUACGUUUGACAAUUUAGAAGGAAGAGGCUAUCAGAUUACGGAAUAACGAUNNNNNNNNNNNNNNNNNNNNNNNNNNNNNNNNNNNNNNNNNNNNNNNNNNNNNNNNNNNNNNNNNNNNNNNNNNNNNNNNNNNNNNNNNNNNNNNNNNNNAAAAACUUUAGAGGCAUUAGAGGCAAAAACAGAGGGCAAGAAAGUGGUAGGAAGGUUGUUACUUGAUGACGAGUCCCCCUUGGUACGUGAAGUGAUGGCGGUAACUUUCCCACCCAAGUAUGUGGUUCCAGCCUUGGUGUAUGAAGGCAAAACUGACCCGAAUCAUCACGUGGAGAAGUUUAAUGAGAUGAUCGGGAUCCAAGGCUUGAGUGAUUUUCAAAGGUGUCGUGUUUUUCCUUUAACCUUAGAAGGACAAGCACGGGAGUGGUAUCAGAGAUUAAAGGGAAGCAUAGGAAAUUUCAAGGAGUUAUGUGAGCUUUUCACUGUGCGUUUUAGGGGUUCAUGCAUACCAAAGCAAGAUACGAGCAGAUUGAAAAAAUUGGUACAAGGAGAAUUUGAAAGUUUGAGGAGUUUUGUGACCAGGUAUCAUAAGGAGGUUACUGAUCUAGGGGCCUUUGAUCAUACAGAUGCUCUGGAGGGAUUAAAGAAGGGGUUGAGAAUCAAUCGAUUGUGGAAUAGCUUAUAUUGUAAGGGGAUAACAACAUAUGCUGAGGCGUAUGACCAGGCAAAAUUGGAUAUGAAAACUGAAGAUGCAGAGGAAGAAAAGAUGAGAAUGGAAAUGCAGACAGAGGGUCCAAUGAGGAAGGGAGACCUGAGAAGGAGAGGAGAUAACUUUGGGUAUAGCUCGAGGAUGAACAUGGGUGAUAGGCGUCAUUAUGAUAGAGGGUUGCUCAAUUAUAGACAACUAGAAAGGCCGGGUCGAAAUUGAGAAGCAAAUCGUGAAAGAAGAGAAAUCUCAUUAGUAGGAAGGGGCCGAGAGGGAAGAAAUAAUUAUGGGAGGAACCAGCGGGAGAACCGAGUAAGAGAUUACAAUAGGUUGCCACCACCUGUAGACCGGAGAGGACUGAGAUCUGACAAUGGGGUGAAUUUAUUAGAACAAAGUGGAAGAUACACACCACUGAACACGAGCAGAGCAGAAAUAUAUGCUGCAAUAAAAGACAAGGGGUUACUAACACUGCCAAAGCAGAUUGUAGGGGGUUUGGGCGGAAGUGCUCACCACAAGUAUUGCGAGUUUCACAAGGUGACCAGACAUGGAACUGUAGAUUGCAUUGACUUGAAGGAACAUAUUGAAUGGCUAGUGCAAAAUCAAUAUCUAAAGGAGUAUGUGGAUGACCAAGGAAGAGGUAGGAGAAAAGGAGACAUCAUAGAUAAUGUAGCGAUGAUGAUUAUGGGAGGGUCGACCUUAGCAGGAGACUCAAACCGCUCAAGGAGAAAUUAUAGUCGAUAUUCAUUAAAAAAUUUUGAGGUGAAUUUUAAUGUUCCGAUACCAAAGAAGCAGCGGAUUCAAAGGGUGCCGAUCAUGUUCACAGAUGAGGACGAGGAAGCAGUCGCACAUCCACAUGAGGAUACGCUUGUAGUGAAGGUUGUCUUAGUAGGGCAGGAAUUGAACCGAGCUUUUGUAGAUGGGGGAAGCUCAGUUGACAUUUUGUUUAAGCAAACUCUAGACGGUCUACAAAUAGGAGACCUCAGGCUUGAUCCGGUCAGAACAUCACUAAAGGGGUUCGGUGGAGCUGAGUUGAUUCCCCUUGGGUUGAUUGACUUGCCACUGACAAUAGGGUCCAGCCCACUACAAAAGACAGUGAUGCUAACAUGGUUGGUAGUUGAUGAGCCAAGCCCUUAUCAAGUUAUUUUGGGCAGACCAUUCAAUAGAAUAGCAGGAGCAGUGAGCUUAACCCAUAUGCAAUGUGUGAAGUUUAGAGUUCAAGGUGGAGUUGGAGUGAUGAGGGGCCAACAACAAGUGGCUCGAAGCUGUUACGCUACAGCUGCGAGAGAAUUCAUGCAGAUCACAAGUAUCGAUCCACGAGCUGAAAAUAGGUUGUGCCAACAGCGACCUAAUGAAAAAAUGAAACAAGUACGGGUAAGUGAGGUUGAUCCGAGCAGAGUGGUAAGAGUGGGAACAAAAAUGAUAGAUGACAUCUCCAAUGAGCUUCAGAUUUAUUGAUGGAGUUCUAGGGCUGAGCUGGGAAGGACCAUAUAAAGUGCUACACUCAUUUGGUAAUGGGGCAUAUAAGUUAGGUUAUCAGGAUGGCAGGGUCGUUGGCAAGACAUGGAAUGCAGAGCACCUGCGAAAACACUAUCAGCUAAGAUAUAUCUUAUUUAUGAUGUUCUUGUUUGUCUGUUUUCUUUAAAUAUGCUAAGAAAGUUUGUUUCUUUGUUAUUUUAAUUUGUUAUGUGUUCAAUUCUGUAACUUCUGCUAUAUUAAUAUCAAUGAGGUUAUUUAGAAGUGCAAUUUUAUUUCUUAUUUACUUGUGACUGGUCUUAUUGAGAUUGAGAUCGACAUGGCGGCCUUAUUGAGGUCCAACGUGAAAAAAUUCAUCCAAUCUUAUUGAGAUUGAGAUCAACAUUUUGGACCGUAUUGAGGUCCAACGUAAAAAGAUUCAUCCAAUCUUAUUGAGAUUGAGAUCAACAUUUUAGACCGUAUUGAGGUCCAACGUGAAAAGAUUUAUCCAAUCUUAUUGAGAUUGAGAUCGACAUGGCGGCUUUAUUAAGGUCUAACGUGAAAACGUUAUCUAAUCUUUUAUUGAGAUUGAGAUCGACAUGGCGGCCUUAUUGAGGUCCAACGUGAAAAAAUUCAUCCAAUCUUAUUGAGAUUGAGAUCGACAUUGCGGCCUUAUUGAGGUCUAACGUGAAAAAAUUCAUCCAAUCUUAUUGAGAUUGAGAUCGACAUUUUGGACCAUAUUGAGGUCCAACGUGAAAAGAUUUAUCCAAUCUUAUUGAGAUUGAUAUCGACAAUGCGACCUUGUUGAGGUCCAACGUGAAAACGUUAUCCAAUCUUUUAUUGAGAUUGAGAUCGACAUGGCGGCCUUAUUGAGGUCCAAUGUGAAAAAAUUCAUCCAAUCUUAUUGAGAUUGAGAUCGACAUUGCGGCCUUGUUGAGGUCCUACCUGAAAAGUUUAUCCAAUUUUAUUGAGAUUGAGAUCGACAUUGCGGCUUUGUUGAGGUACUACCUAAAAAAUUUAUCAAAUCUUAUUGAGAUUGAGGUUGUCAUUUUGACCUUGUUAAGGUCUAAUUGUAAUUCGACCAUGUUGAGAUUGAAGACGGCUAUUACCUUGUGGUUAGACAACUUUAACUUUUAUCUUGUUGAGAUCUACAUUUUUCAAUUUUAUCGAAAUUGGUUUUUACCUUAUUUGGGUCGAUCAUUUCCUUAUUGAGGUUGGCCAUAAGUUAAGUUUUACAAUUUUCUAUUUAUUGAGGUUGGCCAUUGCCUCGUGGAGUUUGGCCAUAGCCUUAACAUUUAAAUUCUACAAUGUUCAAUUUUGUUGAGGUCAGUCAUUGCCUUAAUGAGGUUGGCCAUAAGCUAAGUUCUACAAUUUUCUAUUUAUUGAGGUUGGCCAUUGCCUCGUGGAGUUUGGUCAUAGCCUUAACAUUUACGUUCUACAAUGUUCCAUUUUGUUGAGGUCGGCCAUAGGCUUAACAUUAAGUUGCCCAAUUUCAAUUUUAUUGAGGUCGGCCAUUGCCUUGUUGAGGUCGAUCAUAAGCUUAACAUUUAAGUUCUCCAAUUUUCAAUUUUUUUUAGGUCUGCAUUUUACCUCUACACUUAACCUUAUUGAGGUCGACAAUCUAUCUUGUUAAGGUUGACAUUUUCGUGAGGUCAACAUUUUUCUUAUCGUGAGGUCGACGUUUUAGCUCUACAUUUAACCUUGUUGAGGUCGACAAUCUAUUUUGUUAAGGUUGACAUUUUCGUGAGGUCAAUAUUUUCCUUGUCGUGAGGUCGGCGUUUUAGCUUUACAUUUAACCUUGUUGAGGUCGACAAUUUAUUUUGUUAAGGUUGAUAUUUUCGUGAGGUCAAUAUUUUCCUUGUCGUGAGAUCAUGUGGUCAGCAUUUUGGCUUUACAUUUAACCUUAUUGAGGUCGACAAUCUAUCUUGUUAAGGUUGACAUUUUCGUGAGGUCAACAUUUUCCUUGUCGUGAGGUCGGCGUUUUAGCUCUACACUUAACCUUGUUGAGGUCGAUAAUCUAUCUUGUUAAGGUUGACACUUUUGUGAGGUCAACAUUUUCCUUGUCGUGAGGUCGACGCUUUAGCUCUACAUUUAACCUUGUUGAGGUCGACAAUCUAUUUUGUUAAGGUUGACAUUUUCAUGAGGUCAAUAUUUUCCUUGUCGUGAGAUCGUGAGGUCGGUAUUUUAGCUUUACAUUUAACCUUGUUGAGGUCGACAAUCUAUUUUGUUAAGGUUGAUAUUUUCGUGAGGUCAACAUUUUCCUUGUCGUGAGAUCGUGAGGUCGGCGUUUUAGCUUUACACUUAACCUUGUUAAGGUCGACAAUCUAUCUUGUUAAUGUUGACAUUUUCGUGCGGUCAACAUUUUCCUUAUCGUGAGGUCGGUGUUUUAGCUUUACAUUUAACCUUGUUGAGGUCGACAAUCUAUUUUGUUAAGGUUGACACUUUCGUGAGGUCAACAUUUUCUUUGUCAUGAGGUCAGUGUUUUAGCUCUACACUUAACCUUGUUGAGGUCAACAAUUUAUCUUGUUGAAGUUGACAUUUUCGUGAGGUCAACAUUUUCCUUAUCGAGAUUGACAUCGAAAUGAUAUAAUCUUAGUGAAUUCAAGGUCAUUGCUUGGUGUUAUUGCUACCAAAGUUGACCAUAUCUAUUUGUUUGACCUCAACAAAGUCUUAGAUGGGCUCAGUCUACGGAAUGCAAGUCAUAACCAACCCUAGUAAAUAAAGAGUAAAAAAGGCAAGGUCAGCAUAAUAAUUAUCUAACUACAAAAGCAAAUUAAAGUUCAGUAACAUACAGUCUACACAAGUUCAUAUUGCAAAAAAAGGGCAAGUAUUGUAAUAAUCAAACUUAGGAAGUUAUCUCUUGGUCUUCAACAACCCUACUAGUUAGGGAGACCUCAACCUCAACCCUGACCUUAUCACUUUAAGGCACUUGGUCAUGGUUAUCUUCUUGGUCCACACUUGAAGGUUUCUUCCUACCCUUCUAUUUGCUCACCAUUAUGCUCUACACCGUCUUUCUUUUGCUUGCAGCCAUAUUGCUCUUUCUUCUUUGUUUUAGUUUCCAAUACCGUUCAUAUCUUCUCAGUAUUGAAAACUAGGGGACUGGUGUUGGGUUUGAGAAAAAAUUUUUUAUUUUUAAAUAAUUAGUUUCCAACACUGGUAAUGACUUUCUGGUAUUGAAAACUAGGGGACUGGUGUUUGAGUUGGAUUUUUCUGGUAGCGUAUCGAAAUAUAGUCGAUCCUAAUCUACUCAGAUGUUGUUGAGCUGACCUCAUAAGUACAACCUGGAGCCUAUAUUGGCGACCUGAUUUAUAGGUACGACAUGAAGAUCCUAUUUUAAGAAUACAACCUCAAGCCUAUAUAAUCCGACCUCGAAAUUCAUUUGUCCGACCUGAGAAUUAGCUUGACAUAAGAAAUUGCUAGUCAAGAGAACGUGGCCUAAUUUCUAGGGAAGUUGUGUGCCACGAUCUAUUUAAACCACCUCCAACUGACAACCACUUGCAACUGCUGAAGAAAGCGGGCUGAAGUUAAGGGAGUAACCGUCCACGACCAAGAGCCUAUUUAAACUGAAGAGCGCAUCAGGUGACGGGGUUAGCAAAAAUGAACCAAAAAACUCUAUAAGUGACCUAUCUAAGAGCCUUAACGGGGCUGACCAUAUUUUUAGUUCCUUGAUCGAAAAAUUCCUUUCUUUUGAACCCAUUCACAAUUCUUCCCUCUCAUUUUUAUCUCCUUAUACACAAUUUCUGACUUAAGCAUCGGAGGGUCUGCGUAGGAAACCCACCGGCGUAUCCUAACCGUUGCCGUUGUUGUUGUCGAGCUGACCACGUAAGUACAACCUGGAGCCUAUGUUGGCGACCUGGUUCACAAGUACGACCUGAGAUUUAUGUGAAUGACCUGAUUUAAGAAUACAACCUUAGACCUAUAUGAGCGACCAAGAAAUUCACCGGUCCGACCUCGAAAUUUAUUUGCCCGACCAGAGAAUUAGCUUGACAUAGAAAGCUAUUGGUUAAGAUAACGUGGCCUAAUUUCUAGGAAAGUUGUGUGCCACGAUCUAUUUAAACCAUCUCCAACCGAUGACCACGUGGAACUGCUGAAGAAAGUUGGCAGAAGUUAAAGGUGGUAACCACCCAUGACCAGGGUCCUAUUUAAGCUAAAAAUGGUAACUGAGGCAGGGGUUAGCAAAAAUCAACCAAAAAACUCUAUAAGUGACCUAUCUAAGAGCCUUAACAGAGCUGACCAGAUUUUGAGUUCUUUUAUCGGAAAACUCCUUUCUUUUGAACCCAUUCGCAAUUCUUCCCUCUCAUUUUUAUCUCCUUAUACACAAUUUCUGACUUAAGCAUCGGAGGGUCUGCGCCGGAAACCCACCGGCAUAUCCUAACCGUGUUUUCUGGUUGACAGGUACAGAAAAUUACGGUCAUAUUGGCGUUUGAGCUUGGAUUCGUGUUGUAAUUCCCCUAAAGAAACAAAUUCAGCUGUUGAGGUCGUUUUUCGGCAUCAAUAUCUUGGCGCCGUCUGUGGGGAACGGUGCGAAAAGCCAUACGUUUGACAAUUUAGAAGGAAAAGGCUAUCAGAUUAAGAAAUAGCGAUGGAUGACAACGAUGGAGAUAGGCAGACCUUGCGCCAAUUGGCGGAAGAAAUGAGCGCCACAACAGAUAAGAGAUGGAGAGAAGGGAUCGAGAGACAAAUGGCAAAAUUUGAAGAGAUGAUCAGGGGGUUGGUUGAUGCCCAAGUCAGAGAAACUCAAGUUCGAGCUAGUGAUCCCGAGAAUAGUGGAGAGCGAGAGAGGGAAGAGCUUGGUGGUGAACAGCAGAGCGGAAUGGGACUACCACAAGUUGGGGUACGACAAGAGAAUAGAAGUGCAGGAGAACAAGUGAAUGAAUUGAGAGGGAGAAUCAAUGACUUGAAUCAAGAAAGGGAGAGAGAAGAGCUGAGAGACCCCCACCGGGCAAAUGAGCUUGAGCAGCGAAUGAUGCAAUUUAAAAAAACUUUAGAGGCAUUAGAGGCAAAAACAGAGGGCAAGAAAGUGGUAGGAAGGUUGUUACUUGAUGACGAGUCCCCCUUGGUACGUGAAGUGAUGGUGGUAACUUUGCCACCCAAGUAUGUGGUUCCAGCCUUGGUGUAUGAAGGCAAAACUGACCCGAAUCAUCACGUGGAGAAGUUUAAUGAGAUGACCGGGAUCCAAGGCUUGAAUGAUUUUCAAAGGUGUCGUGUUUUUCCUUUAACCUUAGAAGGACAAGCACGAGAGUGGUACCGGAGAUUAAAGAAGGGAAGCAUAGGAAAUUUCAAGGAGUUAUGUGAGCUUUUCGCUGUGCGUUUUAGGGGUUCAUGCAUAUCAGAGCAAGAUACGAGCAGAUUGAAAAAAUUGGUCCAAGGAGAAUUUGAAAGUUUGAGGAGUUUCGUGACCAGGUAUCAUAAGGAGGUUACUGAUUUAGGGGCCUUUGAUCAUCUCGAUGCUCUGAAGGGAUUAAAGAAGGGGUUGAGAAUCAAUCGAUUGUGGAAUAACUUAUAUAGUAAGGGGAUAACAACAUAUGCUGAGGCGUAUAACCAGGCAAAAUUGGACAUGAAAACUGAAGAUGCAGAGGAAGAAAAGAGGAGAAUGAAAAUGCAGACAGGGGAUCCAAUGAGAAAGGGAGACCUGAGAAGGAGAUGAGAUAACUUUGGGUAUAGCUCGAGGAUGAACACGGGUGAUAGGCGUCAUUAUGACAGAAGGUUGCUUAAUUAUAGACAACCAGAAAGGCCGGGUCGAAAUUGGGAAGGAAAUCGUGAAAGAAGAGAAAUCUCAUUAGUAGGAAGGGGCCGAGAGGGAGGAAAUAAUUAUGGGAGGAACCAACGGGAGAACCGAGUAAGAGAUUACAAUAGGUUGCCACCACCUGUAGACCAGAGAGGACUGAGAUCUGACAAUGGGGUGAAUUUAUUAGAACAAAGUGGAAGAUACACACCACUGAACACGAGCAGAGCAGAAAUAUAUGCUGCAAUAAAAGACAAGGGGUUACUAACACCGCCAAAGCAGAUUGUAGGGGGUUUGGGCGGAAGUGCUCACCACAAGUAUUGCGAGUUUCACAAGGUGACCAGACAUGGAACUGUAGAUUGCAUUGACUUGAAGGAACAUAUUGAAUGGCUAGUGCAAAAUCAAUAUCUAAAGGAGUAUGUGGAUGACCAAGGAAGAGGUAGGAGAAGAGGAAACAUCAUAGAUAAUGUAGCGAUGAUGAUUAUGGGAGGGUCGACCUUAGCAGGAGACUCAAACCGCUCAAGGAGAAAUUAUAGUCGAUAUUCAUUAAAAAAUUUUGAGGUGAAUUUUAAUGUUCCGAUACCAAAGAAGCAGCGGAUUCAAAGGGUGCCGAUCAUGUUCACAGACGAGGACGAGGAAGCAGUCGCACAUCCACAUGAAGAUACGCUUGUAGUGAAGGUUGUCUUAGCAGGGCAGGAAUUGAACUGAGCUUUUGUAGAUGGGGGAAGCUCAGUUGACAUUUUGUUUAAGCAAACUCUAGACGGUCUACAAAUAGGAGACCUCAGGCUUGAUCCGGUCAGAACAUCACUAAAGGGGUUCGGUGGAGCUGAGUUGAUUCCCCUUGGGUUGAUUGACUUGCCACUGACAAUAGGGUCUAGCCCACUACAAAAGACAGUGAUGCUGACAUGGUUGGUAGUUGAUGAGCCAAGCCCUUAUCAAGUUAUUUUGGGCAGACCAUUCAAUAGAAUAGCAGGAGCAAUGAGCUCAACCCAUAUGCAGUGUGUGAAGUUUAGAGUUCAAGGUGGAGUUGGAGUGAUGAGGGGCUAGCAACAAGUAGCUCGAAGCUGUUACGCUACAGCUGCGAGAGAAUCCAUGCAGAUCACUAGUAUCGAUCCACGAGCUGAGAAUAGGUUAUGCCAACAGCGACCUAAUGAAGAAAUGAAACAAGUGCAAGUAAAUGAGGAUGAUCCGAGCAGAGUAGUGAGAGUGGGAACAAAGAUAACGGAUGCCAUUUUCAAUGAGCUUCAGAAUUUAUUGGUGGAGUAUAAUGACAUAUUUGCUUGGAGCCAUGAAGAUAUGCCGGGAAUAGACCCACGAAUCAUGUGUCACCGGUUGGCUAUAGAUAAAAAACAUAAGCCUGUGAAGCAGAAAAGAAGAGUGUUCAACAAGGAAAGGUAUGAGGCCAUCCAUGAUGAGGUGGAUAAAUUGUUGAAAGCGGGGUUUAUAAGGGAAAUGAACUAUCCAAAAUGGGUUUCGAAUGUGGUGAUGGUUAAAAAGGCAAAUGGAAAAUGGAGGAUGUGUGUGGACUUUACCGACCUCAACAAAGCUUGUCCCAAAGAUAGUUUUCCUCUCCCAAAGAUUGAUCAGUUAGUGGAUUCAACAGCCGGGCAUGGCUUGAUGAGUUUUAUGGAUGCAUUCUCAGGAUACAACCAGAUUCGUAUGUCCACAGCAGAUGAAGAAAAGACAGCUUUUGUGACUGACCAAGGAUUGUAUUGCUACCGUGUGAUGCCGUUCGGAUUAAAAAAUGCAGGAGUUACUUACCAAAGGUUAGUAAACAAGCUUUUCAAACCCUUGAUUGGUAAAACAAUGGAGGUAUAUGUAGAUGACAUGAUAACCAAGUCUGUUGAGCCGGUCGAACAUACAUCGCAUUUGAGUGAGACGUUUGAAGUUCUAUGAAAAAAUCAGAUGAAGUUGAAUCCGGAAAAGUGUGCCUUUGGAGUGGAAUUAGGGAAAUUUUUGGGCUUCCUAGUUAGCCAGAGGGGGAUAGAGGCUAAUCCGGAAAAAGUAGAGGUCAUUCUCAAGAUGAGGUCGCCGAAGGAUCUUAAAGAUGUUCAGAGCUUAGCUGGGAAAGUUGCUGCGCUGAGCAGGUUUAUUUCGAAAUCAUCAGAUAAAUGCCAUCCGUUUUUUGAAUUGAUGAAGAAAGGAAAAAGAUUGAGGUGGUCGGAAGAAUGUGAGACAGCAUUUCAACAAUUAAAGACGUAUUUGGCUAACGUACCAACUUUGGCUAAGCCCUUAGUUGGUGAUGUUCUCUUGAUCUACUUGGCGGUCUCAGAUUAUUCAACUAGCUCGGUCCUGGUAAAAGAAGAAGAUGGAGUCCAUAGUCCUGUAUACUACACGAGCAGAUCUCUUACAGGGGCGGAAGUUAGAUAUCCUAUUGCAGAAAAGUGGGCGAUGGCUUUGGUUGUAGCCGCAAGAAAGCUGAGGCCGUAUUUUCAAGCUCAUGAGAUCGUGGUCGUCACCAAUCAACCUUUAAGACAAAUUUUACACAAACCAGACAUUUCAGGAAGGUUAGUUAAGUGGUCAGUAAAGCUAAGUGAAUUCGACAUCAGUUACCGACCGAGAUCAGCAAUUAAAGCACAAGCUCUAGUCGACUUCAUUAAUGAUUGCAGUGACGGUAAUGAAGGGAUGGAUGCUGGGCAGGAUAUUAAAGAGGCAGAGAAGAAGAAUGAUGUAUGGGAGCUUAAUGUAGAUGGAGCUGCAAACCCAGAAGGGUCAGGCGGAAGAAUUGUUCUUGUUUCACCCGACCAAGAAGAAGUAUGCUAUGCUCUCAAGUAUGAAUUUCAUCCUACAAACAAUGAAGCAGAAUAUGAAGCUCUCAUUGCAGGUUUAAAACUAGCAAGAGCAUUGGGGGUUCGGUAUUUGAAGGUGAAGAGUGACUCGCAACUGGUAGUGAACCACCUGAAUGGGACAUUUCAAGCCAAAAGUGAGAACAUGUCCAAGUAUUUGAGCAAAGCACUGCAGCUAUGGGGUAGUUUUGAUCAAGCUACAAUGGAGCGAGUUCCGAGGGGAGAGAAUUACCGAGCGGAUUAUAUAGCAAGACUGGCAACUACAGAAUGCCCAAAGUUCCCACGAGGAAUCCCAUUAGAGUCGGUUUCAAAGCCAUGUAUAGCUGAUCCCGAGAUGGAAGUGUAUAUGGUAAAAGAUGAGAAGAGCUGGAUGGUGCCUAUUAUGAGGUAUAUUGAAUUUGGGGAACAGCCUCAAGAUAAAGCAAAGGCAAGAAGGCUGCGAUGCCAGGCAACACGGUACUCCAUAAUCGAAGGUGUGCUUUAUAGGAGAGGUUACACUUUACCUUACCUGCGAUGUUUGGGCUCAGCUGAUGCCAACUAUGUGAUGAGAGAGGUGCAUGAGGGAAUUUGUGGAAAUCACGGCGGAGGCAGGGCAUUGGCCCAUAAAAUAAUAAGGCAAGGUUAUUUUUGGCCGACCGUGCACGAAGACACAUAGGAGUUAGUUCGGAGAUGUGAUGAAUGCCAAAAGUUCACCGUAAUUGCAAGACAACCACCAGAAAACAUGAUGACAAUGGGGAGCACUUGGCCAUUUGCACAAUGAGGGGUGGAUCUUAUCGGACCAAUGCCGACUGGGAGGGGCCAAAUGAAAUACGCGGUGGUACCCAUUGAUUAUUUUACUAAGUGGAUUGAAGUUGAACCGCUACAAAAGAUAACCGAGAAGCGCACAACAGAUUUCAUAUGGAGGAAUGUGAUUUGCAGAUAUGGCCUACCGCAAGCUAUUAUCACCGAUAAUGGAAUCCAAUUUAAUAAUGAGAAUUUCAAGAAGUUUUGUAGUCAGCUCGGCAUUGAACUACGGUUUAUCUCACCUGCUCAUCUGAAGGCAAAUGGACAAGUAGAAGCGGCGAACAAAAUUAUAAAGCAGUUGCUGAAGAAAAGGUUGGGUGAGAAGAAGGGAGCUUGGGUGGAUGAGCUUCCAGGAGUGUUAUGGGCCUGUAGAACGACCGUGAAGACUUCAACGGGGGAGACUCCAUUCUCACUUGCUUUCGGCCAUGAGGCGGUAAUCCCAGCUGAGGUUGGCAUUGAGACACACCGCACAAAGUAUUAUGAUGAGACAGUAAACAGGGAGUAUAUGUUGUUGGAUUUGGAUUUGCUUGAUGAGAAGAGAGAUGCGGCAAGAGGUCGAGCGGCAAUUUACCAGCAAAAAGUGGCUAAGUUCUCCAACAAGAAUGUCCGGCUACGACAAUUUCAGGAGGGGGACCUAGUGCUCUGUAAAGUCAACCAGUCAACCAAAAAGCCAUCUGAUGGAGUUCUGGGGCCGAGCUGGGAAGGACCAUACAAAGUACUACACGUAUUUGGUAAUGGCGCAUAUAAGUUAGGUUAUCCAGAUGGCAGGGUCGUCGGCAAAGCAUGGAAUGCAGAGCACCUACGAAAAUACUAUCAGUAGGCCAACCUUAUUCAUGAUCUUGUUUGUUUCCUUUAAAUAUGCUAGGAAAGUUUAUUUCUUUGCUAUUUCAAUUUGUUAUGUGUUCAAUUCUAUAAUUUUUGCUAUAUUAAUUUCAAUGAGGUUAUUCAGAAGUGCGACUCUGUUUCUUAUCUACUUGCGAUCGGUCUUAUCUGAGAUCCGUAUAUUUGGGCCUUAUUGAGGUCUAACGUGAAAAAAGUUUUGUAAUCUAAUUGAGAUUGAGAUCGACAUAUUUAGGCCUUAUUGAGGUCUAACGUGAAAAAAGUUUUUCAAUCUAAUUGAGAUUGAGAUCGACAUAUUUGAGCCUUAUUGAGGUCCAACGUGAAAAAAGUUUUGCAAUCUAAUUGAGAUUGAGAUCGACAUAUUUGGGCCUUAUUGAGAUCCAACGUGAAAAAAGUUUUUCAAUCUAAUUGAGAUUGAGAUCGACAUAUUUGAGCCUUAUUGAGGUCCAACGUGAAAAAAGUUUUGCAAUCUAAUUGAGAUUGAGAUCAACAUAUUUGGGCCUUAUUGAGGUCCAACGUGAAAAAAGUUUUUCAAUCUAAUUGAGAUUGAGAUCGACAUAUUUGAGCCUUAUUGAGGUCUAACGUGAAAAAAUUCAUUCAAUCUUAUUGAGAUUGAAAUAGACAUUUUUGGACCUAAUUGAAGUCCAUUAAUAUAUAUAUAUAUAUAUAUAUAUAUAUAUUAAUAAUAAUCUAUCGAAUGAGAUUAAGGUUGACCAUUGCCUUGUUGAGGCCGGCCAUAAACUUAACGGUUAAGUUCUACAAUUUCUUAUCUAGUUGAGCUCGGUCAUUUUCCUAUCGAGUUCAGCUAUAACCAUAACAUUUUAGUUCUAUGGUUUUCAAAUUAUUAAGGUCGACAUUUUAAGUUUUGUAAAGCCCACGGUUGAGGUCGACACUUGUUGCUUUGUGAGCUCUACGUUUGAGGUUGUUUAUUAAGGUCGACAUUUCAGUUUUGUAUAGCCUACGGCUGAGGUCGACAUUUUAGUUUUGUAAAGCCCACGUUUGAGGUCGACACUUGUUGCUUUGUGAGCUCUACGUUUGAAGUUGUUUAUUAAGGUCGACAUUUUAGUUUUGUAAAGCCCACGGUUGAGGUCGACACUUUCUUUGUGAGCUCUACCUUUGAAGUCAACACUUGUUGCUUUGAAAGUUCUACGUUUGAGGUUGUUUAUUAAGGUCGACAUUUCAUUUUUGUAAAGCCUACGGUUGAGGUCGACAUUUUAGUUUUGUAAAGCCCACGUUUGAGGUCGACACUUGUUGUCUUUGUGAGCUCUACGUUUGAGGUUGUUUAUUAAGGUCGACAUUUUAGUUUUGUAAAGCCCACGGUUGAGGUCGACACUUUAUUUGUGAGCUCUACCUUUGAAGUCGACACUUGUUGCUUUGAAAGUUCUACAUUUGAGGUUGUUUAUUAAGGUCGACAUUUCAGUUUUGUAAAGCCUACGGUUGAGGUCGACAUUUUUGUUUUGUGAAGCCCACGUUUGAGGUCAACACUUGUUGCUUUGAAAGUUCUACGUUUGAGGUUGUUUAUUAAGGUCGACAUUUUAGUUUUGAAAAGCCUACGGUUGAGGUCGACAUUUUAGUUUUGUAAAGCCUAUGUUUGAGGUCGACACUUGUUGCUUUGUGAGCUCUACAUUUGAGGUUGUUUAUUAAGGUCGACAUUUCAGUUUUGUAAAGCCUAUGGUUGAGGUCGACAUUUUAGCUUGGUAAGAUCUAUGCUCGAGGUUGACACUUCGUAAGAAUCUAUAGCGAGGUCAGCUUCGAGCUUCCUAAGGUCAACUUUCCAGCUUAGUUACAAUCGGCAGUAGCCUAAACAUCUUCAGUCUUGUCGUGGUCGGCAUUAGCUUUAUUAAAAAUUAGCGUGCAAGCUAUGUAACGAUUAUCUGAAGUACAAACACAAAAUGAAAGCGCAACAAGAGUUAUAAGUUCGUACAACUACAAAAAGGCAAGCCUUAUAGCAACUUUUCAAAUCUACUUAGAAAGCAUUCUCCUCGUCUUCAGCAACUCUGCUUGUUAAAGAUGCCUCACCCUCAACUCUAAUCUCAUCACCCUGAAGAACUCGAUUUGCUUCUUGAUCUGUACCCAAUGACUUCUUCUUAGCCUUUUCUUUGCUCACAUAAGCGGUCAACAUCCAUUGAAAGUCCAUGUCUGGGUGUUUCUCUUGGAACAAUUCGAUGCAUGUCUGAAUGACAUCCGCCUUCAAUUGCCUUUUCUCUAGUCGAAUGCAUUGAUCAACAUCAGACUUAACUUUUUCCAACUCAUAGCUGAGAUCGGCAAUCUUGGAGUCUUUGCUCACAUUAGAUUUCUUUUCGGCUACCAAGUCUUCUGCCAAGCGAGUAUUUUCAUCGUUGCGAGCAUUGAGGUCACGCUUGAGCCGAUCUCUCUCGUUUGCUGUCUUUUCGUUCGUGAGGUUGGCUUUCAUCAAAGCACGCUCGAGUUCUUCUAUUUUCGCAUGGCCUUUUAAUGACUUUGCAAACGUCUCGAUAUGCGCGGCCAUGAUCAAGGAUUGCUGGAAAAGAAAGCAUGACAAUUAGGAUGGAAAGUAUAAACAUCACAUAAAUAAAGGUUGUGAAUUAAUACCCACCUCAACUUGGUUUCGAGCAAGCGCUUCAAGAGCAUGAGUAGCUGACAAAUGGGAAAAAUUCACGAGGGUAUCCUGGCUCACAAAUCGAGCAGCUAAGUUCACCAUGGGUAGUAAGUCCUCCACUUUUCCUCGCUUUGACUCUAUGAUGUCACUGCUUUCAAGCAAGCUUCCUUUCGGACAUAUCGGGGAAGGGGUAGGUGGCAAAAUGCGCAGGGGACCUCAUAAGUACAACCUGGAGCCUAUAUUGGCGACCUGAUUUAUAGGUACGACAUGAAGAUCCUAUUUUAAGAAUACAACCUCAAGCCUAUAUAAUCUGACCUCGAAAUUCAUUUGUUCGACCUGAGAAUUAGCUUGACAUAAGAAAUUGCUAGUCAAGAGAACGUGGCCUAAUUUCUAGGGAAGUUGUGUGCCACGAUCUAUUUAAACCACCUCCAACUGACAACCACUUGCAACUGCUGAAGAAAGCGGGCUGAAGUUAAAGGAGUAACCGUCCACGACCAAGAGCCUAUUUAAACUGAAGAGCGCAUCAGGUGACGGGGUUAGCAAAAAUGAACCAAAAAACUCUAUAAGUGACCUAUCUAAGAGCCUUAACGGGGCUGACCAGAUUUUUAGUUCCUUGAUCAGAAAAUUCCUUUCUUUUGAACCCAUUCACAAUUCUUCCCUCUCAUUUUUAUCUCUUUAUACACAAUUUCUAACUUAAGCAUCAGAGGGUCUGCGUCGGAAACCCACCGGCGUAUCCUAACCGUGUUUUCUGGUUGACAGGUACAUAAAAUUGCGAUCAUAUUGGCGUUUGAGCUUGGAUUCGUGCUGUAAUUCCCUUAAAGAAACAAAUUCAGUUGUUGAGGUCGUUUUUCGGCAUCAACAGAAGAUCUGAAAGAUCGGGUCCGCAUCUUCAAGAGAAAGAGUAAAGCAUUUGACACUUUUGAUUUUAAAAAGCUUUAUCCCCAGACACGCAUAAUAAUUACAGAGCGCAUGUAAAAACGUAAUAAUACCAUGCAAUGAUGGUUUUUAAAAUAGACAUAAUAAUUGCCAACGAUCACUCGAUAACUAUUAUUCUUCUUCAUUUAUUUUUCUCUUAUAAGACAAUUACUACCUUCUUUCAUUUACUUUUCUUUUCUUUAAAUUUCUCUUAUAAUUAUUACAAUAACUUAUAUAUUUAUAUAUUUAUAAAAUAAACGGUAAAUAAUAAAUAAAAAUUAUUUCCCUCCCGUUGUUUGCCUUUUCAAAAAUUAUUCAACUUGUUUUCUAAGGUUAAGAAUGAAGGAAUAAUGGUGUAAAAGGUAAUGAUCAGACAGUAAUUUAGGCAAGGAUGUAUGUAUUUUCUGGGUUAAUGAAGGGGUGAGAAAGCAAUCAAUUGCAAUAAUACACACUUGAGAUUGAUGAGCAGAUUAAUGGUCUUGUGGCAAAGUAUGUACUCUUAAGAAAAAGAAGAGCAUCAUAACAGAACAAAAAUUGUUAUCGGACAAAGAAAGAGUAAAGUGUCAAAAAUUAAAUAAAUAAAUAAAUAAAAAGAUAGGGUACAAACAAUAAUUGAAGAGAGAAUGCUCAUUGAGGAAUACGGCAACAGAUGUCCAAAACUUAAAAGGCCCUCGCGAUGACCCUUGAAACAAGCAUAUAAUCACGUUACAAAAAAGGCAUCUUUGUAACAGUCAUUUAAACUGGUAGAGUAAUGAUAGAUGUCGUCUUUUAUGAGUUAUGGACAUCGCAGAUGACGCUUUUAUAGAUAUAAAUACACAAGUUAUUUUAUUAGUCAUUUUCGUCUAUUUUACAAUGAUUUAAAUAUACAAGUUAUUAUAAUAAUUAUAAGAAAAAUUUAAAGAAAAAUAAAUGAAGGUGGAUAGUGGUUGACUGGUGGAAGGAAAAUAAAUGAAGAAAGAUAGUAAUUGUCUAAUAGUAUUGGUGAUAAUUAUUAUCUCUAUUUCAAAAUUAUUAUUGCGUUUUUUCAUGUACUCAUUAAGAAAAAUGAUAGAUUUUUAAAAUUUAAGUAAAUGUCGGGUAUCUUAAGGAUGAAGUUUUUCAUUAUUAUUCUUGUUGCUAUUAUUAUUAUUAUUAUUAUUAUUUAGAUUGUUUUAAAUUUAGAUAUAUACUUAAGCGGAAAGAAGAAAAUUGGAUAUUUAGAUAUUUAUUAUGUUGUAGUAAAAAUUGAUUAAUUAUUCAUAAAUUUUAAAAAUCAGUAUGUUGAUUCUUUAGUGCAAGUAGUCAUAUUUUCAUAAAAAUGAAAUCUACUCUGAUUUAGUGCAUGACUUAUUACUCUCGAGAUGAUGAAAUCCUUGCUAAUAAUAGUUUUAACAUGCCAUUGUUAUUACUUAAGUUGGAAAAAAAAACAAAAAUUAUGAGACUGGUUGAAUAACUAACUUGUCGAUAAUAGACAAAAUUAAAUUUAGGUUACUAAUGAUUAUCGAAUUUGGUAAGUCUAGUUUAUAAAAGUCAAAAGCAAGAAAUCGCACUAUAACAAUAUCAAGUUUCUUCUUCUUCUUCUUCUUCUUUUGUGGGUAAGAUAAGUCCUAAUAAUUCUAUUGUUAAUCAUAAUGCACUUUUCUGCAUAUUGUAGUUGGUUGGAUAAGAUAUUUAGUUAAAAUGUUCUAAAAAAUUUAAUAGUGUUGUGUGCAUUGAUAUUGGCUAUUUUGUAUAUGGUAGUUGGUUUUUUUUUUUAAUAUUGAUAUACCAGACGUAUUUACAAUUACGAUAUAGUAUUAGGACUUGUGUACAUUAAUUUGACCCUCAUACAUUUUGUGAGAGAUAACACUAUUACUACUCAAUGUCUCAAUUAUGAAAUAAUUGAAGAAAGAUUGCAACUAAUUUUCAUAAUAUUUUUAAAGAGACUCGAACUUUUCUAUUAGGCCAAAGGCUCAUUAGUGUAAAUGGUCGUUGGUUGAAUAAGAUACUCCCAUCUCAAGAUAGUGUUAAUAAAGUCAAUAGCAACCAAAUGAACAAAGUAUAUAUAGAAGAAUAGUUUCGGCUAAAUUCAACAGACACCUCCAUGACGUUGGCAAGGUAUGUACAUAAAUUAUAAUUAAUUUUGAUUUAUUUGUAUCUUUCAUAUUGGCUAUGCACACACAUAAUUGUUGCAUUAUUUUUAACUAUUUUAAUUUAGUAUUGGAGUAUUGUUGCAGGAUUAUGAAUGUUGUUAGUUGCCUCCGAGAGGGUGUUUUGAUCACUUGUGAAGAAUGUAGUUUUCCUUUGUAAAGAAUGUUUUGUUAUUUACGAUGUAAUGGAUAUCCAAUUUGGGAUGUGUAAAACAGGAAAUACCAGUCAUUUGAAUCAUUAAUAGUAUUUUCUUGACAAUAAAUUUAUGUACUUCCUAGAUGCUUGAUGAUGCAGUCUUUGCCAAUUCAUAUUAGCUUAAUAUGAAAAUUAAAUAGUAGAUUCAAAUAUUUUAAAUAUUUAUAAUUUAAAAUAACAUUAAUUAAUUCAAAAAUAUCACUUUUAUCAUUCAAAGAUGACUCCCAAUAUAAAAAGCUAGUCUUUUGUUCAAAUAAACUUGACAAUUUCUAAGAAAAAGAGUGACAUCACUUUAGGAAUUAUUAGAGCAUUUUCCAUACUAUAUUAUUUUAUGACUGAUAUUUUACAGCAUGAGUCAUGUAUAAAACAGUCAUCUACAAUAUAGAUAACUCAUAAAAGACCACAUCUAUCAUUACCUACCAUUUUAAACAACUGUUUUAAAGAUGACUUUUUUUUUGGCCGCGUCAUUAUGUAUUUUUUUCAAGAGUCAUCUUUAUCGUUUAUGUUGUGCGAGGGCCUUUAAGUUUUGUACAUAUGUUGCCAUGUUCAUUAAUGAGCACUCUCUCUUCAAUUAUUGAUUGUACCCUAUCUUUUGUUUUAUAUUUAAUUUGUCGACACUUUACUGUCUUUACCCGAUUACAAUUUUUGUUCUGUUAUGAUGCUUUUCUUUUUCUUAAAAUGCACACUUUGACACAAGACCAUUAAUCUGCUCGUCAAUCUCAAGUGUGUAUUAUUGCAAUUGAUUGCUUUCUCACCCUUCAUUAACCCAGAAAAUCCAUACAUCCUUGCCCAAAUUACUGCCUGCUCAUUACCUUUUAUACCAAUAUUUUUUUCAUCCCUAACCUGAGAAAAGAAGUUGAAUAUGGCCGCGGAAACUGUUGCUUCAGUUACCCAGCCUAUUGCGGAGAAGAUUGUUGACGUGUUGUUCAAUGCAACCGUACGUCAGUUUGGUUACUUGUGUAAGUACAAACGCAACAUUGAAGCGUUGAGGACGGAAGCAAAGAAGCUCACAGACAGAAGAAAUGACUUGCAAGCGGAAAUUGAUGCUGCAACAAGAAAUGGAGAAGCUAUUAAAGAUGAGGUUCAAAGAUGGAUAGCAGAAGUUGAUGAGAUCAUUCCAAAAGCUGAAAAGUUUUUGGAGGAUGAGGUGAAAGUAAACAAGAAAUGCCUUGGCGGGUUGUGCGUUGAUCUCAAAUCACGUUACAAACUCAGCAGAGAGGCAGAGGAGAAGACUCUGGCAAUUUCUGGUCUCAUGGCUGAUGGAAAUUUUGGAAAAGAUGUGUCUCGUCCUGCUCCUCCACCAGCAAUAAUAUCUUCGUCUGAAGGAUUCUACGCUUUCAAUUCCAGGGAAUCAGCAAUGAAGGAUAUAAUGGAGGCCAUGAAGAAUGAAAAUGUCAGCAUAAUAGGAAUAUGCGGAAUGGGGGGUGUGGGGAAGACCACACUAGUCAAGGAAAUUCAGAAGCAAGCAAAAGAAAUGAAGAUGUUUGAUGAUGUAGCGAUGGCCGUUGUGUCUCAAACUCCAACCAUUACCAAGAUUCAAGACGACAUUGCUGGCUGGUUAGGUGUUAAAAAACUGCCUGACAAUGACGAGUCAGCAAGAGCUAGUUUUUUGUGGGAAAGAAUCAAAGAGAAGCAGCGAGUGCUUGUCAUAUUGGACGACUUAUGGGGGCGUAUAAAAUUGUCUGAGGUUGGUAUUCCUUACGGGAAGGAUCACAGAGGCUGUAAUAUUUUGCUCACAUCUCGAUCACGUGCCGUCUGCAAUCAAAUGAAUGCUAAUAAAAUUGUUGAAGUCGGAACUUUAACGAACGAAGAAUCCUGGAGCCUUUUCAGGGAGGUAGCUGGUCCAGAAGUUGAUAAUCUUGAAAUAAACCCGACUGCAAGAGAGGUGGCUGACGGGUGCGGUGGCUUGCCAAUUGCGAUUCUCACAAUAGGAACAGCGCUGAAGGAUAGAGACAAGCAUGUUUGGAAAGAUGCAGCCGAACAACUCAAAAGUUCCGCCCCAACGAACAUCGAAGGGAUGGAAGAGUUUGUAGUGUCACGCGUGGAGCUGAGCUACAAUUAUCUGAAAAGCGAGGAGGCAAAAUCAAUCUUCCGACUCUGCAGCUGCUUUCCAGAAGAUUACGAUAUUCCAAUUGAAGUGUUGGCGAGAUACGGAUGGGGUUUGAGGUGCUUACAAAACGUCGAUUCAGUGGAGAAGGCCAGAGGCAGAGCACGUAGUGCUGUAAGUACCCUUAUCUUUUCUUAUUUGUUAAUUGAUGGUGAGGAGGAAGGGUGUGUUAAAAUGCAUGACGUUGUGCGUUAUGUUGCACAACAAAUAGCGUCUAAAAAUAAGUUCAUGAUUAAGGCCGGCGUCGAGCUAAAAGACUGGCCAAGCAUAAAUACAUUUGAAGAUCUGACUGGAAUCUCAUUGAUGUUCAAUGAUAUUCAUGAGGUACAUGAGGGGUUGGAGUGUCCAAAGCUCCAAGCUUUAUUCCUGCAGGAAAAUUAUCACUUAGUCAUUCCUGACCCAUUUUUUCAAGGGAUGAAAGAUCUGAAAGUUUUAGACUUGGAAGGAAUCCGAAUGGUUUCACCGCCUUCCUCACUUUCAUUCCUUAGUAACCUCGGAACUUUAAGUCUUCAUGAUUGCCGUGGCUUGGGCGACCUAUCUUUAAUCGGAGAGUUAAGUAGAUUAGAGAUUCUUGAUCUUUCAGAAUCUGAUGUAAGUGAAAUUCCGGUCAGUUUUGGACGAUUGGGUCAUCUAAGAUUGUUGGAUUUGACAGACUGUGAGCACCUAGAACUAAUACCCCGAGGUGUCCUCUCUAGCCUUCGUAAGUUAGAGGAGUUAUACAUGUCAGACAGUUUUUGCCACUGGCAAUUUGAGAGCGAAGAAGAUGCAAGAAGUAAUGCCAAAUUUAUUGAGUUAGGGGCCUUGAGUCGACUCACUAGUUUGCAUAUUGACAUCCCGAAAGGCAAAAUCAUGCCUUCUGACAUGUCCUUCCAAAAUCUGACAAGCUUUUCGAUUACAAUUGGUGGCCUUGAGGAGGACCCUCUCAGUGAUUUAAUAGAACUAUUUUUGGAAAAAUUUAAGAAGAGAUGCUCGAGAGCAAUGGGACUUUCACAGGACAUGAGGAUUUCAGCGCUACCUUCUUGGAUUAAGAAUUUGCUGCUCAGAUCAGAGAUUCUUGCUUUGGAACAAGUCAACGGUUUGGAGAAUACAGUCUCGGACCUAGCUAAUGAUGGCUUUAACGAAUUGAUGUUUCUAGCAAUUUUCGGCUGCAAUGAGAUGAAAAGUCUCUUGAACUCAUUGGAAAGGACACAAAGAGUAACUCUCCAAAAGUUAGAAUGGUUGUCUAUAUGUGAAAAUCAGAAUUUUGUUGAAAUAUGCCACGGUCAACUCCCAGCCGGGUGCUUGAGCAAUGUAAAAAGGUUAGGUGUGGAUGAUUGUGGCAGCAUGUUGAAAAUUUUACCAAGUCAUUUGGUACAAAGCUUUCAAAAUCUUCAACGUUUGAGGGUAGAAAGUUGUGAGUUGCUGGUGUCUGUAUUCGAAAUUGAAAGGGUUAAUAUUGCAAAAGAAGAAAUCGAGUUGUUUUCGUCAUUAGAGAAACUGACUCUGAUCGACCUGCCUCGGAUGACAGACAUAUGGAAAGGUGACACUCAAUUUGUAAGCCUCCGUAACCUGACGAAAGUAAGAGUGCAAGACUGCGAUGAGUUGAGACAAGUAUUUCCGGCAAAUCUUGGGGAGAAAGCAGCAGCAGAGGAGAUGGUACUUUACAGGAACAGAAGAGAUCAGAUUCACAUUCACGCCACAACCUCAACCUCCUCUCCGACUCCGAGUUUGGGAAACCUGGUUUCUAUUACAAUUCGGGGAUGUGGGAAAUUACGAAACCUCUUCACAACCUCCAUGGUCAAAAGCCUGGUGCGACUUGAAAGCCUAGAAGUAAGCAGCUGCCCAACACUGCAAGAAAUAAUCAUGGAUGAUGAAGG
rnacentral:lncRNA from 1 species